rnacentral:rRNA from 1 species
UACGUAGGGCGCAAGCGUUGUCCGGAAUUAUUGGGCGUAAAGAGCUCGUAGGCGGCUUUUCACGUCGGGUGUGAAAGCCCGGGGCUUAACCCCGGGUCUGCAUUCGAUACGGGCUGGCUAGAGUGUGGUAGGGGAGAUCGGAAUUCCUGGUGUAGCGGUGAAAUGCGCAGAUAUCAGGAGGAACACCGGUGGCGAAGGCGAAUCUCUGGUCUGUAACUGACGCUGAGGCGCGAAAGCGUGGGGAGCAAACAGG